CUACGGGUCGCUCCAGGCGCGAAUCUUCUACAAUGCGCGAAAGCGUGAUAGAGGGACUUCGAGUGCUAGCUUUGCUAGCUUUUGCCAACUCCAGAACGGUUGGCGAAUAAGGACUGGGUAAGAUGCGUGCCAGCCGCCGCGGUAAUACGUACAGUCCAAGUGGUAUUCCCUUAUAUUGGGCCUAAAGCGUUCGUAGCCUGCUUUGUAAGUCCUUUGUGAAAUCGGCUCUCUUAAGGAGUCGAAUGGCAAGGGAUACUGCAAGGCUCGGGACCGGGAGACGUGAAGGGAAUUUCGGGAGUAGCGGUGAAAUGUUGUGAUCCCCGAAAGACCACCAGUAGCGAAGGCGCUUCACGAGAACGGCUCUGACGGUGAGGAACGAAAGCUGGGGGAGCGACCCGGAUUAGAUACCCGCGUAGUC
rnacentral:rRNA from 1 species